rnacentral:rRNA from 1 species
AUUGAACGCUGGCGGCAUGCCUUACACAUGCAAGUCGAACGGUAACAGGGAGCUUGCUCCGCUGACGAGUGGCGAACGGGUGAGUAAUGUAUCGGAACGUACCAUAGAGUGGGGGAUAACUAUCCGAAAGGAUAGCUAAUACCGCAUAUUCUCUCCGGAGGAAAGCAGGGGGACCGCAAGGCCUUGCGCUCUUUGAGCGGCCGAUAUCAGAUUAGCUAGUUGGUGAGGUAAAGGCUCACCAAGGCGACGAUCUGUAGCGGGUCUGAGAGGAUGAUCCGCCACACUGGAACUGAGACACGGUCCAGACUCCUACGGGAGGCAGCAGUGGGGAAUUUUGGACAAUGGGGGCAACCCUGAUCCAGCCAUGCCGCGUGAGUGAAGAAGGCCUUCGGGUUGUAAAGCUCUUUCGGCCGGGAAGAAAUCGCACAGGCCAAUACCCUGUGUGGAUGACGGUACCGGAAUAAGAAGCACCGGCUAACUACGUG